rnacentral:rRNA from 1 species
AUUGAACGCUGGCGGCAUGCUUUACACAUGCAAGUCGAACGGCAGCGCGGGCUUCGGCCUGGCGGCGAGUGUCGAACGGGUGAGUAAUGCAUCGGAACGUGCCCAGUAGUGGGGGAUAGUCCGGCGAGAGCCGGAUUAAUACCGCAUACGACCUGAGGGUGAAAGCGGGGGACCGAAAGGCCUCGCGCUAUUGGAGCGGCCGAUGUCGGAUUAGCUAGUUGGUGGGGUAAAGGCUUACCAAGGCGACGAUCCGUAGCUGGUCGGAGAGGACGAGAAGCCACACUGGGACUGAGCCACGGCCAAGACUCCUGCGGGAGGCAGCAGUGGGGAAUUUUGGACAAUGGGGGCGACCCUGAUCCAGCCAUGCCGCGUGCGAGAAGAAGGCCUUCGGGUUGUAAGCCGCUUUUGUUCGGGAAGAAAUCCUCUGGGCUAAUACCCAGGGGGGAUGACGGUACCGGAAGAAUAAGCACCGGCUAACUACGUG